CAAAUACCAUGGUGAUCUGCAUUGGCAAAAUCUCUUGGGAGGAUCGCAUUCGGCCGUUGCUGAGGGAGUUCCGGAACAAAAUGUUCGAGCUGACAUGGGUUCUUUUGGUGUAACCGGAAAUCUUGCACUUCAACCAAUUUGUAUCUUGCCCGAAUUUGGAUGUGGUUGAGGCGCUUAUUCAAGGUCUGGUCUUGUUCCACGGAGCAAUUCUAAUGGUUAGUCACGAUGAGCAUCUAAUAGCUAGAAGCUUGGAUGAGGUCUGGGUGGUUUCACAAGGCAAGGUGGCACCUCCCAUGGGAAUUUCUAGGACUACAGAAAUGUACUCUAGUUUUUGUUGAAUCAGGUGAAUCUAGUUAUUGGCAUAAACUAAGAGUGGUUCAUUGGGUUCAAAUUACCUCACAAAA